CUGUUAACCAAAGGCUUCUGUUAAGGGAUAGAAACUUGGGUUAAAAGUGCGCCCAAGAUGACAAUGAGUUAGGAACUAGUCUUUCCCCUGGGGUCUGUGAUCUAAUUAGACAAGAUCAAGGACAAGUAUUAAUUAACACUGUUCCCACUUUACAGGUGAGUAGCCAAGAAGUGAAUUAACAAACAAGUUGUAUUUGUGAUGUAUUUAAACACUCAAAAAGUAGCUUGACACCCAUAACUUUUAAAAAUCAGACAAAAAUGCAUCCUCUAAAGUUUUGGUCCUGCAGGGGGAUUAAAAGCAUAAAGAAUUUUGUUUAUACAAACAAUCACACUGAAGAGGAAUAGCUCCUCUGUUUCCCUCAGAAAUACAUCCUUAGUUCCUUUGCAGGACAAGUUCUUAGUUAUAUUGGUGAUGAACUGUAACACUGAAAAGCAACAGGGACUGAAAAAGUCAUGCAUGUCAACAAUAGCUAAAAAAUAUCUCUAACAUGCGUAGUUCUUCUUCACUUUAAAGGCUGUAUACAGGAGAAAAAGAGCUUUACUUCCCCUUUUUUUGCCUCCAGUUUGAACCACCGGCACAGAAACACUCCACUGCAAAAGCUGGGCAUAUGGGCAAGCAGGUCUUACAUAUUUAUAUUGAAUUAUUACUUCUCUUUUGUUUUCUUGGUGGCUACUGCUCUUGGGCAUCCUUGGGUUUUGACGGUCACAUCAAAGGAGCGGCUCUGGCGUGAGAACCGGUCAAAGUGAGCCAGAUAAUUAAUGGAUUUAUUACUGAGGUCGGUUCCCAUGAUUGUCGGUGGGCAGCAGCCACUGCUGUGUCGUAAUCCUCAUUCUCUUGGUAAGGCACAUACUGCCUUAAAAAGGUUUAAUGAUCCAAUAGUGAUUUACUAAUGGGAAUCUUUCUUGACGGUUUAGCAGGCCUUGAAGGAGGACAGGGUGGCACAUGAAGGUCAGUUUUCACCAGUAUCAAGAAAUGGUUUUAUUUAUUUUGUUUUGAGAUUCCUGUUUGGAGCAUUUUAAUUCACUAAAUGCAAUAAUGAAUUGAAGGGUCAAAGUCAUUGUAGCAGGGCAGGUAUCAGAUUCUUGAUAACACAAGGAGGGAAGCAGACAUUGGUCACAGUUGAUUGUGGCUGAAGGUCUGAGAUAAUUAUCAGAAAACAUUCACUUCAGCUUUUAUGAUCAACAAAAUGAAAAAGUGUGGUAAGAGGGACUGAAACAGCCUCAUGAAACCGCAGGCUGGCAGCUGGUCCCCGCCACCAGCCCCUGCUGGGGUGGCUGCCUGGUUCGCUAAGGUUACAUCCCCUUUCUGCUGGGAAAGGAGGGAGGGGGACAACCAGUGGGACAGCUGCCCAAAAAGAGGGCAGGGGAGGGAAAAGGAGAGGAAGCAGCUUUGCCUGCCCAGAGCGAAAGAGAUGCUGUUGGUGCCCAAGGAGCCAGAGUCCCCACCACUGCUCCCCCCUUGCCACCCUGGUGCCUCUUCAGAAAAACAAACCCCAGAAAAGCCAAGAAAAAUAAACUUCCUUCUCCUCCACCAAAUACAUUUAGAAAGCAACAGAGGGAGAGGGGGUGGGGAGAAAAACAAUGUUACUUUAUUUUAGGGCUUGUAUAAUAAAACCAAGGGCUGUGCUGGCAAGUGACAUUAAGAGCUACGUGAACAAUCCACACACAACAGACCUUGUCCUGUUAACCAAGUUGUGAAAGUGUACCUUAAAUGUUUAACUUUUGCUUUAAACUCAUGGAGGGAGAAAGUUCCUUUUUCUCAAAAAAAUUAAAAUUACUUUUCUCUCUGAGAUAUGAAAAAAAUACAGCAUUCUGAGUUAAAUCAAAAGUAAGGGGGGAAAAGUGUAGGCCUUUACAUAACUACAGUUUUGUCUGUUUGGGUUUAUAUAUUGCCUUGUACUCAUUUGUUAGAUUUUCACUUACCACAUAGUAAUAUCUAUUACAGGUAAAUUCUUUACAGGUAAAACCAUUUCCUUUACAUCUUCUGUAGGGACACUGUUUCCAGGAGUGGGGGCAGAGGUCUUGCAGUUCACAUAGGCAGUGUUCGAAAUUUCCUAGCAACCAAAAUUUCAGUGUUGCAUCGAGAUAUUUUUUCAUCCUGAAAACUUUCUUUGUAGAAGAGAAAAAUCCUGAAAAUUAACUGAGUGGAAAGCAAAAUUCAGUCACUAACUCAGAAGGACUUUCCUGUAGAAUAAGUAAUAGCACUGUUAAAACAUUGUCUAAAACAUUUAGCUUUGCUUGAAUUCAAUAUUGGCAGUAGUAUAUCUGUAGGAAAGGAAUCUGCCUCUUCAGGCCUUGAAAGUAAUUCAACCAUACAUAUUUCAUUUUAUUUCCAAUAAUCACUUCCUUUUGCUUCUGGAAUUUGAGUAUCUAGGGUACAACACUAAUUCAUGUGUCCCAGAUUUACACAGCCACCAUAAAUGCAGAAAAAUAUCCCUUUAAAAACAAAUUAUAUUGACAUUAUCUUAUAAUCACCACCACUAUUGAAGUCAGAGCAUUAAGAAAACUUCUAAAAUUAGUGCUGAUUGAGGUGUUGACUGAUCUUUGGGAGUGAUAGAUGAUAAUGCAUUAUCACCAAAUGAUUUUGAUACUGUUCUAUUGUUUCUACUGGUGAGGAGUCUAAUUCUUUGAAAAAAAUUAGAUAACACAUGAAAAUAUUAUUAAGCCUGAAAUCCUGUAUCUCCAGAGAUGAUGCAAGAUAGAGAGAAAUUCAGUUGCCUGGCCUAACAUAUAUCAUGACUUAAGCAGCUUGGAUUUCCCAGGCAUCUGCACAGGACUGGCAGAGGUGACACAGGACACAAGGGACACCUACCCCCUCCAAAGUGAUAUUUGGAGCCAAACUUAGGACAUGGCAAACAUUUAGACAACUGAAUGAUGACUAAGUGAUUGUGUUUGCACAUUCAUAGCACUUUACAACUUCCAGUAAAAGCAAUUACCAGGAUAAGAAAACAAAUCAAAACCAACCACAUCUUCUCCCCCCAAAAUAAAAUCCUGCAUAUUUUAUGGAAAUGAUCUGUGAAUUAUCUGUCAAAAUGUUAUUUCAUUUAUAAAUCAGGAGAGGUUUGGUUUACCCUUGAGUGGAGAUCUCAGCAUUUCUAGCACCUGCCUGGUGCUCCUCUACUUAUCAUUUCUGGUUAUGAUCAGAUGUCAUUCCUUUGAGAUUUUACACAGUAGUGUCCAAGUAUUUGCUGUGUAAAAUGAUGAAGCAGAGAAACAGUGCACAAGUAAAAAGUUCAGUGUUGAGUAAAAUUAACUCAAGUUCAUGCAGUGGCCUCACAGAAAUGAAGCUUGGACACACGAAGCUUGCAAAGCUAUACCAACUCCUUCAUAUUUUCUCAAAGUUGAGCAAAACUACCAGUUCAAUCCCUCAGGUCCUCAGUUGUUUGAUCUCAGGCUAUCCGUGCCUACAGAAGCAGAUGAGUAAUGAGGCUAGUGACUACAGAGCUGGUAAAAGUCCUCUUCAAAUGUCAGUAUUUUCUUAUUUUAUAUAUUUUGAUUAAAAGGUGCUUGUGACUUUUUCCUGUUGCAAAGAAGAGAUUCCUCUUAUUUCUUUACAAUAGCCCUAAGAAUUUGCCAAAAUCCAUGUUCCAGGCUUAUCUCAUGGCAUCCUCAUUGAAGUACCAUCUUUCAAAACAGCUGCAAACAUUCUGAAGGUUCACACUAAGGAGGCAGCAGCAUAAGUUGGCACCUCCUGGCAGUUGUUCAGGCAGAGGUAGUCACAGCCGAUUAUUCUACUUUAAAUAUAUGCAUUCAGCCCUCGGCCACAGUAGCCGGUUUUUCUUCGAGGCAAUACCUAAUGCCGGAUUUCCUCCACUUGCAAUCACAGCAAAGGGAGGACAGGCAGCGCUGCCUCUCAGUUGUCUGUCUCUUCUCUACGGUAAUAAUCUUCUCUCAGCAGCCUAAGUGCUUUUUAUUUGCAUUGCUGAGGGCUAAGGUUUUGAGCCUGCUAAUGCUGAGUGACAGAAUUGGUUUUUAGUUUUUUCCUUUUAAGAAAAACAUUCUAGGAAAUUGCAUAACCUGCUUUGAUCCUCUUGAUAAUUGGAAUUUAAAGUUGUAAACCCACCCAUUGAAAAGUUAGUCAAAGCCAACUGUUAACUGUUGAACAAGCAGCCUGACUUGUGUUCUUGUAGUAUGUGCCAUGAUCUGCUCUUAAAUUACAUAAACUACUAACUUUAUUCUUCAUCCAGGUCCAUUCCUCACUGAAUGCACAAUGAAGAUAGAAAAGGGCUGAAGUAAGGUUGCACGUGCACAGCCACGAGGCCUAACUUUUGCAUCUUGGUUACGCCAAGGAAACAGCUUUCCCUUGGUCUGUUUUAAAAACUGCACAGACACCUUCAGCUCUGACCUGUUAGCUACAGCCAAAGCCACCAGAAGCUAUAACCCUCUCAUGUCUCUCCAACAGCACAUGUGAAAUAUGAGUCUUCGUCGUUAAUUAAUCACUUGGAAAAUCUUCAUCCACUCUCAGAGAGGUAACAUUCCCCACAGCCUAGGAAUAAGCAGGCAUGAAGGAUGAGCUCCUCAGGUGAUUUGAUUCAAACCAAACCGAUACAGAAGACAACACAACAGGAAAUAGUGGAGACCAAAAGCCAACAAAACAAGCAAUAGAGGACACAGCAGCAACUCAUGGAUCUGGCCUGUUUUUUGAAAGUGAAAAUGGGAUAAACACAAACAGGCUGCAAAAAACUAUCAGUGGUGAAUGACAACCCCUCCUCACUUAAGUGCCAGAGACCAGCUAAUUGAGGCAGGGAUGAGUUCCAGGUUCAAUAUCUGGGAGAAAGGAUGACAGGAGUGUGAGCCACCGAGCUGAGGCUGCUGAGGCUUUUGAUGACAGGUGAAGUGUCUGUCUGGCUGUGGUGUGAUCCCCUUUUUCUGUGCCUCAGUCUUGCCAGCUGUUAUUUCGGCAUUCAGACACGUAAGACUUUGUCCUCAUCCUUAUAAACAGAGCUUUCCACACUUUCCACAGAGGGGCUUAGGCAGGUCUGAUGAAACAGUAACAAACCCUUGCCUCAGUGAGAACUGUCAAAUUAGAAGACCAGAACUUGUACAAACUACCUCCUUUCAUUCCAUAUAUUUAUGGGUUAAUGAUGUCAUUGCGUUACCAUUUUCACCUUCUAAACCCUAUGGAAAGCUAAACCUAGAAACCUCAUUUUUGGGGCUCUCCAGGAUGAACAGAUAUGCUGGUGUCAUUAAGCAUACCAUCAAUGCAGAGCCAGUUUGCAAGCCUGAAAACCAAUGCUGCUUUGCUAUUUUCCCCUGCCUAUUCCAGAUCCCGCUGGAGAAGGUGGAGCAGAAGAGUAGAGAGCAGCCAACAGGCUUGUUAUCAGGGGCAGAAAACAACUCUUGAGUCCACAAGUAUUCUUCAAAAGCAAACAAAUACUACAACAAAUCAUCCAUAAAACGCAGUCAAAAAGGACUUCAUUUAAUUAGUGAUAUGUAAAGACUUUUGCAUAGAAAAAAGGUUAACAAAGUAAUGCAUAAAAGACCGACUAGGUACAGUAUUUUUAAAACAAAUAUUUUAAAGUAUAUUUUGCAUAAUGUUUAACAUUUUCAAUGCUUAUUGCUUUCUCCACACAGCAGAGAAAUCAAGUGCAUAAUAAUACAUGCUGUGUUUUAUUUUUCUUUUCUUUUUUUUUUUUUACAUAAAAUCUCUAGUUCUUGACUGGUUGUAUUAAAAUACUUAGGUUAUUUUAAGUCACUGUAAUAAAAAAAUGAAAGCAAACCAUUUUAUGCAGCACUAGUUAUCUGGGUAUUGACAAAAUAAUUUACUCACAUCCCAUUAAUACAUUCAUUUUGGUUUGGAAUCAAACCCACAUUACAAUGUUGGCAUGUUAAUAGCCAAUUUAAAAAUUGUCCCUACCAUAACUUCAUUCAUACCCAGAGUGAUCAUUCUCCCAGAAGCUGAUAGAGAAAAGAAGAGGGAUCUUGCACUGAAUUGUCUAAAAGUGUCCAAGUACAGCUAAAUAAGUUAAGUUGAACUCUUACAACACUGAAUCUCUUGUAUUGGCAUGAAUCAACAGUAUCCAAGUGUGCACACUUUCAACAGGUGGCUACUUCUGGGUGCAUGACAAAUUCACUGUUUGUGCAGAUAGGAGCUAGCACCAUGUUUAAGCCAUAAAAAGGGGUGCCUCAGGGCUCACAGGCAAUGCUGAAACAUUCAUUAAUCCCAGCACUGAUAGGAUAAUUGCUUUUGCCAAUGCUAUGCUAGACGUCACAAUUUGGCAAGUCUGUACAAAGAAAGUGAACUAAGCGAGAACUAGGCCUGUCAAACUAAACAUUCUUCCUUGGCAAU